rnacentral:rRNA from 1 species
UUAAGCGAAUAAGCGUACACGGUGGAUGCCUAGGCAAUCAGAGGCGAUGAAGGACGUGCUAAUCUGCGAAAAGCGUCGGUAAGGUGAUAUGAACCGUUAUACCCGACGAUAUCCGAAUGGGGAAACCCAGUAUCCAAUGGAUACUAUCAUUAACUGAAUCCAUAGGUUAAUGAGGCGAACCGGGAGAACUGAAACAUCUCAGUACCCCGAGGAAAAGAAAUCAACCGAGAUUCCCCUAGUAGCGGCGAGCGAACGGGGAGCAGCCCAGAGUCUUAAUCAAUAACAGUGUCAGGAGAACGGUCUGGAAAGUCCGGCAGUAAAGGGUGAUAGCCCCGUAUCUGAAGAUGCUGUUAUUGUGAACUCGACGAGUAGGGCGGGACACGUGUUAUCCUGUCUGAAUAUGGGGGGACCAUCCUCCAAGGCUAAAUACUCCUGAUUGACCGAUAGUGAACCAGUACCGUGAGGGAAAGGCGAAAAGAACCCCGGCGAGGGGAGUGAAAAAGAACCUGAAACCGUGUACGUACAAGCAGUAGGAGCCUCUUUAUGGGGUGACUGCGUACCUUUUGUAUAAUGGGUCAGCGACUUAUAUUCUGUAGCAAGGUUAACCGUAUAGGGGAGCCGUAGGGAAACCGAGUCUUAACUGGGCGAAUGAGUUGCAGGGUAUAGACCCGAAACCCGGUGAUCUAUCCAUGGGCAGGUUGAAGGUUGGGUAACACUAACUGGAGGACCGAACCGACUAAUGUUGAAAAAUUAGCGGAUGACUUGUGGAUGGGGGUGAAAGGCCAAUCAAACCGGGAGAUAGCUGGUUCUCCCCGAAAGCUAUUUAGGUAGCGCCUCGUGAACUCAUCUUCGGGGGUAGAGCACUGUUUCGACUAGGGGGUCAUCCCGACUUACCAACUCGAUGCAAACUGCGAAUACCGAAGAAUGUUAUCACGGGAGACACACGGCGGGUGCUAACGUCCGUCGUGAAGAGGGAAACAACCCAGACCGCCAGCUAAGGUCCCAAAGUCAUGGUUAAGUGGGAAACGAAGUGGGAAGGCUCAGACAGCCAGGAUGUUGGCUUAGAAGCAGCCAUCAUUUAAAGAAAGCGUAAUAGCUCACUGGUCGAGUCGGCCCGCGCGGAAGAUGUAACGGGGCUAAACCAUGCACCGAAGCUGCGGCAGCGACACGUAGUGUUGUUGGGUAGGGGAGCGUUCUGUAAGCCUGCGAAGGUGUACUGUGAGGUAUGCUGGAGGUAUCAGAAGUGCGAAUGCUGACAUAAGUAACGAUAAUGCGGGUGAAAAACCCGCACGCCGGAAGACCAAGGGUUCCUGUCCAACGUUAAUCGGGGCAGGGUGAGUCGACCCCUAAGGCGAGGCUGAAAAGCGUAGUCGAUGGGAAACGGGUUAAUAUUCCCGUACUGGUGGUAACUGCGAUGGGGGAACGGAGAAGGCUAGGUUGUCCGGGCGACGGUCGUCCCGGUUCAAGCAGGUAGGCAGAGUGAUUAGGCAAAUCCGGUCACUUAAUGCUGAGAUGUGAUGACGAACCACCAAGGUGGUGAAGCAAUUGAUGCCCCGCUUCCAGGAAAAGCCUCUAAGCUUCAGGUUACCAACAAUCGUACCCCAAACCGACACAGGUGGUCAGGUAGAGAAUACUCAGGCGCUUGAGAGAACUCGGGUGAAGGAACUAGGCAAAAUGGUGCCGUAACUUCGGGAGAAGGCACGCUGGCGGUAGGUAAAGUCCCUCGCGGACGGCGCUGAAGCCAGUCGAAGAUACCAGCUGGCUGCAACUGUUUAUUAAAAACACAGCACUGUGCAAACACGAAAGUGGACGUAUACGGUGUGACGCCUGCCCGGUGCUGGAAGGUUAAUUGAUGGGGUCAGCCGUAAGGCGAAGCUCCUGAUCGAAGCCCCAGUAAACGGCGGCCGUAACUAUAACGGUCCUAAGGUAGCGAAAUUCCUUGUCGGGUAAGUUCCGACCUGCACGAAUGGCGUAAUGAUGGCCAGGCUGUCUCCACCCGAGACUCAGUGAAAUUGAACUCGCUGUGAAGAUGCAGUGUACCCGCGGCAAGACGGAAAGACCCCGUGAACCUUUACUAUAGCUUGACACUGAACAUUGAGCCUUGAUGUGUAGGAUAGGUGGGAGGCUUUGAAGUGUGGACGCCAGUCUGCAUGGAGCCAACCUUGAAAUACCACCCUUUAACGUUUGAUGUUCUAACCUAGGCCCAUAAACUGGGUCGGGGACCGUGUCUGGUGGGUAGUUUGACUGGGGCGGUCUCCUCCUAAAGAGUAACGGAGGAGCACGAAGGUUGGCUAAGCAUGGUCGGACAUCAUGCGGUUAGUGCAAAGGCAUAAGCCAGCUUGACUGCGAGAGUGACGGCUCGAGCAGGUACGAAAGUAGGUCUUAGUGAUCCGGUGGUUCUGAAUGGAAGGGCCAUCGCUCAACGGAUAAAAGGUACUCCGGGGAUAACAGGCUGAUACCGCCCAAGAGUUCAUAUCGACGGCGGUGUUUGGCACCUCGAUGUCGGCUCAUCACAUCCUGGGGCUGAAGUAAGUCCCAAGGGUAUGGCUGUUCGCCAUUUAAAGUGGUACGCGAGCUGGGUUUAGAACGUCGUGAGACAGUUCGGUCCCUAUCUGCCGUGGGCGUUGGAAGAUUGAGAGGGGUUGCUCCUAGUACGAGAGGACCGGAGUGAACGCACCACUGGUGUUCGGGUUGUCAUGCCAAUGGCAUUGCCCGGUAGCUAAGUGCGGAAGAGAUAACCGCUGAAAGCAUCUAAGCGGGAAACUUGCCUCGAGAUGAGUCUUCCCUGUCGCUUUAAGCGACCUAAAGGAACGUUUAAGACUAAGACGUUGAUAGGCUGGGUGUGUAAGCGUAGCGAUACGUUGAGCUAACCAGUACUAAUGAACCGUGAGGCUUAACCUG